rnacentral:rRNA from 1 species
GACGAACGCUGGCGGCGUGCUUAACACAUGCAAGUCGAACGGAAACGCCCUGCUUUUGUGGGGUGCUCGAGUGGCGAACGGGUGAGUAACACGGGAGUAACCUGCCCUGGACUGUGGGAUAACUUCAGGAAACUGGUGCUAAUACCGGAUAGGAGCGCCUGCUGCCUGGUGGGGGUUGGAAAGUUUCGGCGGUUGGGGCUGGACGCGCGGCUUAUCAGCUUGUUGGUGGGGUAGUGGCUUACCAAGGCAUUGACGGGUAGCCGGCAUGAGAGGGUGACCGGCCACAAUGGGCCUGCGAUAGGGCGCAGACUCGUAUGGGAGGCAGCAGUGGCGAACAUUGUACAAUGGGGGGAAGCGUGAUGCAGAAACGCUGCGUGCGGGAUGCGGGCUUUCGCGUUGUAAACCGCUUUCGCCUGUGACGAAGCGUGAGUGACGGUAACGGGUAAAGAAGCACCGGCUAACUACGUG